CUGAUGCAGCCAUGCCGCGUGUGUGAAGAAGGCCUUCGGGUUGUAAAGCACUUUCAGCGAGGAGGAAAGGUUAGUAGUUAAUACCUGCUAGCUGUGACGUUACUCGCAGAAGAAGCACCGGCUAACUCCGUGCCAGCAGCCGCGGUAAUACGGAGGGUGCGAGCGUUAAUCGGAAUUACUGGGCGUAAAGCGUGCGCAGGCGGUUUGUUAAGCGAGAUGUGAAAGCCCCGGGCUCAACCUGGGAACCGCAUUUCGAACUGGCAAACUAGAGUCUUGUAGAGGGGGGUAGAAUUCCAGGUGUAGCGGUGAAAUGCGUAGAGAUCUGGAGGAAUACCGGUGGCGAAGGCGGCCCCCUGGACAAAGACUGACGCUCAGGCACGAAAGCGUGGGGAGCAAACAGGAUUAGAUACCCUGGUAGUCCACGCCGUAAACGAUGUCUACUCGGAGUUUGGUGUCUUGAACACUGGGCUCUCAAGCUAACGCAUUAAGUAGACCGCCUGGGGAGUACGGCCGCAAGGUUAAAACUCAAAUGAAUUGACGGGGGCCCGCACAAGCGGUGGAGCAUGUGGUUUAAUUCGAUGCAACGCGAAGAACCUUACCUACUCUUGACAUCCAGAGAACUUUCCAGAGAUGGAUUGGUGCCUUCGGGAACUCUGAGACAGGUGCUGCAUGGCUGUCGUCAGCUCGUGUUGUGAAAUGUUGGGUUAAGU
rnacentral:rRNA from 1 species